UCGAGGGGUAGGGUAGCAAUACCUGAGACCGGCGCACGGGUGCGUAACGCGUAUGCAAUCUACCUUUUACAGGGGAAUAGCCCAGAGAAAUUUGGAUUAAUGCCCCAUGGUAUUAUAGAGUGGCAUCAUUUUAUAAUUAAAGUUCCAACGGUAAAAGAUGAGCAUGCGUCCCAUUAGUUAGUUGGUAAGGUAACGGCUUACCAAGACGAUGAUGGGUAGGGGUCCUGAGAGGGAGAUCCCCCACACUGGUACUGAGACACGGACCAGACUCCUACGGGAGGCAGCAGUGAGGAAUAUUGGACAAUGGGCGCAAGCCUGAUCCAGCCAUGCCGCGUGCAGGAAGACGGUCCUAUGGAUUGUAAACUGCUUUUGUACGGGAAGAAACACUCCUUCGUGAAGGAGCUUGACGGUACCGUAAGAAUAAGGAUCGGCUAACUCCGUGCCAGCAGCCGCGGUAAUACGGAGGAUCCAAGCGUUAUCCGGAAUCAUUGGGUUUAAAGGGUCCGUAGGCGGUUUUGUAAGUCAGUGGUGAAAUCUGGUCGCUCAACGAUCAAACGGCCAUUGAUACUGCAAGACUUGAAUUACUGGGAAGUAACUAGAAUAUGUAGUGUAGCGGUGAAAUGCUUAGAUAUUACAUGGAAUACCAAUUGCGAAGGCAGGUUACUACCAGUGGAUUGACGCUGAUGGACGAAAGC
rnacentral:rRNA from 1 species